rnacentral:rRNA from 1 species
AUUGAACGCUGGCGGCAUGCCUUACACAUGCAAGUCGAACGGCAGCACGGGAGCAAUCCUGGUGGCGAGUGGCGAACGGGUGAGUAAUACAUCGGAACGUGCCCAAUCGUGGGGGAUAACGCAGCGAAAGCUGUGCUAAUACCGCAUAAGAUCUAAGGAUGAAAGCGGGGGAUCGCAAGACCUCGCGCGAGUGGAGCGGCCGAUGGCAGAUUAGGUAGUUGGUGAGGUAAAGGCUCACCAAGCCUGCGAUCUGUAGCUGGUCUGAGAGGACGACCAGCCACACUGGAACUGAGACACGGUCCAGACUCCUACGGGAGGCAGCAGUGGGGAAUUUUGGACAAUGGGCGCAAGCCUGAUCCAGCAAUGCCGCGUGCAGGAUGAAGGCCUUC